AUUACCCAAUCCCGAUACGGGGAGGGUAGUGACAAUAAAUACUGAUACAGGGCUCUUUUGGGUCUUGUAAUUGGAAUGAGAACAAUCUAAAUCCCUUAGCGAGGAACAAUUGGAGGGCAAGUCUGGUGCCAGCAGCCGCGGUAAUUCCAGCUCCAAUAGCGUAUAUUAAAGUUGUUGCAGUUAAAAAGCUCGUAGUUGAACCUUGGGCCCGUCCUGCCGGUCCGCCUCACCGCGAGUACUGGUCCGGAUGGGCCUUUCUUUCUGGGGAAUCCCAUGGCCUUCACUGGCUGUGGCGGGGAACCAGGACUUUUACUGUGAAAAAAUUAGAGUGUUCAAAGCAGGCCUUUGCUCGGAUACAUUAGCAUGGAAUAAUAGAAUAGGACGUGCGGUUCUAUUUUGUUGGUUUCUAGGACCGCCGUAAUGAUUAAUAGGGAUAGUCGGGGGCGUCAGUAUUCAGCUGUCAGAGGUGAAAUUCUUGGAUUUGCUGAAGACUAACUACUGCGAAAGCAUUCGCCAAGGAUGUUUUCAUUAAUCAGGGAACGAAAGUUAGGGGAUCGAAGACGAUCAGAUACCGUCGUAGUCUUAACCAUAAACUAUGCCGACUAGGGAUCGGGCGGGGUUUCUAUGAUGACCCGCUCGGCACCUUACGAGAAAUCAAAGUUUUUGGGUUCUGGGGGGAGUAUGGUCGCAAGGCUGAAACUUAAAGAAAUUGACGGAAGGGCACCACAAGGCGUGGAGCCUGCGGCUUAAUUUG
rnacentral:rRNA from 1 species